CACCAUUUAUGAUCAUACUUAUAUAUAAUGGGUAAAUUACAAUGGAUAAUGAAUAUCAAUGGAAAUAUAUUACCGCUCAUAUGCUUGAAUAAAGGGAUUAUAAAUAAUAAUAAUUGAGUUAAUAAUUCACAAAAGCCAAAGGUGUAUAGAAGCCUUCAAAGGCUAUUAUUACAAUUUUUUUUUUCUUUUAUAUAUAAUAUGGAGAUUCGAAAAGAAAAGAUUUUAUCAUACUCUCCAAAUACACUAAUCUAAAUCUCAAAAAAGUGAUGCCAUCUUGUCAAAGCGCCUUCAAUCAUCAAUUGGAGAUGAAAUGGCAGUUGUUGAAACUUGGAUCAACUGUGACAAGCAUGGCAGUCCCACCAAAAUCGCAAGUCCCACCAGCGACCUUAGUCUUCUGCCAGUAACUAUUAAAAGCGAAAGAAGCAUGUGCUACCAAAUUAUUGGGCUGGAAGCAUGGCCCGUUUUGCUGAAUUGACUUGCAAUCUGCUCCUGAUCCACACGCAUAGUCCAAUGCUUCUUGAAUUAUUGGAUCUGGCACUGUAGGCUUUGCAACACACCAUACGGCAAAUCGUGGCUUUUUAUGAGGUGGAGGAGGAGGCGGCGGCAUAAUGGGGGGUGCUUGGUGAACCAAUGGUGGUUGAUAGAUUGGUGGGCUAGGCCCAUGGUAAUGUGGGCUAGGAGGGAUACUUGGUGGGCCAAGGCCAUAUUGUGGUGGUCUUGGUAUUGGUGUGUACGUGGGUGGGGUUUUGCUCGGAAAAUUAGAGGAUGAAGGAGAAGGUUGCAUAGAAGGUGGCGGUGGCGUAAAGGGUGAGCUUAAACCAGAGGGAGGAGUUUCUGCAAGCGGUGGUAGUGAUUCUAAAGGCGGCAGAGCAUAUGAAGAACCCAAGCUAUAUGACUCAACAUUUGUUGGUUCUAUUGGUUUGUUCGUUCUUUGUUCAACAAACAAUCUUGCAUCACCGAGAAGGAAGAUGCUGGCUAUAAAGGUUAUGUAUACACUUGAAAUGCUGAAUUUGAAGUGCUCAAAUCUUGGCUUCAUUUGAAGAAAUGCUCAAGAACUCUUUCAAUUACCAGUAGCUGUGGAUUUUCUGCUACACAAGCAAACACAUGCAGAUAUAUUGAUAUAUAAGCUCCGAUGAAGAAUCCAUUCAUCGUGGAGAAGAUACAAUGAGGCAACACUGGCCCACUUUAUGUGGUGAACAACCGACAGAUCUCUAAGCCACAAUUCACAAAGCGUAAAGCUUUGCAGGAGAUAUUAAUUUCUAGCAGUGCUUUAAAAUUAAAUAGUUUAGUGAAUCCCUCUGUUCAUUAAUUU
rnacentral:misc_RNA from 1 species